rnacentral:rRNA from 1 species
UACGUAGGGUCCGAGCGUUGUCCGGAAUUAUUGGGCGUAAAGGGCUCGUAGGCGGUUUGUCGCGUCGGGAGUGAAAACACGGGGCUUAACCCCGUGCCUGCUUCCGAUACGGGCAGACUAGAGGUAUGCAGGGGAGAACGGAAUUCCUGGUGUAGCGGUGAAAUGCGCAGAUAUCAGGAGGAACACCGGUGGCGAAGGCGGCUUCCUGGACACUAACUGACGCUGAGACGCGAAAGCGUGGGGAGCAAACAGG